UGGGCGACGUUCACCUUUACCUUGAAUCCACCUGCAGGAGCUGCUCUGUUGGAGCUGUGGAGACCUGUAGAGGCUGGAGCUCAGGCUGCUCCGACACUUUAGCAACAGAAAGCAAGAAAAGGAGCCUCGGUACAAACAGAAGAAUGAUUUGUGAUGAUCUGAAAAAUCACAGAGCUGACAGUACGACCCAAGGCCUCUCACCUGACAAAGCACAGAGAGGACCCAACCCUGAAGGUAUGGACGAGCUUCUCAUCAUUUUCUUACUGUCUCAUCAUCGUGUUGACUGGCUGGCAUGCCUGAGGACAGAGACAGCGAGACAGAGGCACUGGCAGGUUGACUUCUCAGUGGUAUGGCAGGUCUAGAGUGUAUCUAGAGGGUCAUGACCCCCUCCCAGACUGUGACCUAGACAAACAGGAUCGAGGAGCUGCCACGGGACAUGGAAUGUGUCUUUUGUUUUUGUUUUGUUUCUCUUUUUUUGUUGAAAUGAUGGAAAACUCUUCCAUUGCACUUGCAAGAGCGAAAGAAAAUAUUUUCUUGACAGUGAUUAAGGUAAAGUUUACAUGAAGAAUAAAAUGACUGUUAAAGAAAAAAAAUAGAACUUCAAACAGAGCUGUGUGUCAUAAGUGGGUGAGGCUCUCUGUGUGAUUGUCUCAAGUCUCUGAAAAUGUGAUUUACUUUACGGGCAGCAUUUUUUUCCCCUGUGAACAUAUUUUUAGUGUUAGCACAGCCACUUGUCUAUAUUAUCUGUAUGACCCACGUUAUAUAUAUGUUCACUAUACAUCUGGGACCAUGUGGAACCAAUUGUUUCUUAAUAAAA